UACGUAGGGGGCAAGCGUUGUCCGGAAUCAUUGGGCGUAAAGAGCUCGUAGGCGGCUCAUUGCGUCAACCGUGAAAACCUGCCGCUCAACGGUAGGCUUGCGGUUGAUACGGGUGGGCUGGAGUUCGGUAGGGGAGACUGGAAUUCCUGGUGUAGCGGUGAAAUGCGCAGAUAUCAGGAGGAACACCGGUGGCGAAGGCGGGUCUCUGGGCCGAUACUGACGCUGAGGAGCGAAAGCGUGGGGAGCGAACAGG
rnacentral:rRNA from 1 species